rnacentral:rRNA from 1 species
GACGAACGCUGGCGGCGUGCUUAAUACAUGCAAGUAGAACGGACAGGCUAUGCUGUAGUUGGGUGCUCGAGUGACGAACAGGUGCGUAACGCUUGGGAAACCUUCCCUUGACUUUGGGAUAACGUCGGGAAACUGUGGCUAAUACCGGGUAGGAGCUCCUGCUGUUUAGUGUGGGUUGGUAAGUUUCGGAGGGUUGGAAUUGAAUCGCGGCCUAAUAGCCCGUCGGUGGGGUAGUUGCUUACAAAGGUAAUGACGGGUAGCCGCACUGAGAGUGUGACCGGCCACAUUGUGACUCAGAUACCGCCCAGACUGCUACGGGAGCAAUGAGUGAGAGAUAGUGCACGAUGGGCGGAAGCCUGAUGCAGCAACGCCGCGUGCUAGAUGACUGCCGUCAGGGUGGAACCCGCUUUCGCCUGUAACGAAGCGUGAGUGACGGUAAUGUGUAAGGAAGCAACGGCUAACUACGUG